CAAAAACAUCGCCUCUUGAGUUAAAAAUAAGAGGUCCAGCCUGCCCAGUGACUAAUGUUCAACGGCCGCGGUAUCCUAACCGUGCGAAGGUAGCGUAAUCACUUGUUCUUUAAAUGUGGACUAGUAUGAACGGCAUCACGAGGGUUACACUGUCUCCUUUCUCUAAUCAGUGAAACUAAUCUCCCCGUGAAGAAGCGGGGAUAUAAUUAUAAGACGAGAAGACCCUAUGGAGCUUCAAAGUUCUCUUCAAACGCCAAAACUCUACCAAGUCAAAGACUCCUGCACAAAAUUACGCGCCAUGAAGACAACUUUUAGGUUGGGGUGACCAUGGAGUAUAAAACAACCUCCACGCUGAACAGGCCUCUAAACCUCGAGCAAAGGACCACAACCCUCCGCACUAAAAAAUUAACACACAUUGAUCCAAUGAAUUUUGAUCAACGAACCAAGUUACCCUAGGGAUAACAGCGCAAUCUACUUCAAGAGUUCCUAUCGACAAGUGGGUUUACGACCUCGAUGUUGGAUCAGGGUGUCCCAGUGGUGCAGCCGCUACUAAUGGUUCGUUUGUUCAACGAUUAAAACCCU
rnacentral:rRNA from 1 species